GAUGAACGCUGGCGGCGUGCCUAAUACAUGCAAGUCGAGCGAACAGACGAGGAGCUUGCUCCUCUGACGUUAGCGGCGGACGGGUGGGUAACACGUGGAUAACCUACCUAUAAGACUGGGAUAACUUCGGGACACCGGAGCUAAUACCGGAUAAUAUAUUGAACCGCAUGGUUCAAUAGUGAAAGACGGUUUUGCUGUCACUUAUAGGUGGAUCCGCGCCGCAUUAGCUAGUUGGUAAGGUAACGGCUUACCAAGGCAACGAUGCGUAGCCGACCUGAGAGGGGGGUCGGCCACACGAGAACUGGGACACGGUCCAGACUCCUACGGGAGGCAGCAGUAGGGAAUCUUCCGCAAUGGGCGAAAGCCUGACGGAGCGACGCCGCGUGAGUGAUGAAGGUCUUCGGAUCGUAAAACUCUGUUAUUAGGGAAGAACAGAUGUGUAAGUAACUAUGCACGGCUUGACGGUACCUAAUCAGAAAGCCACGGCUAACUACGUG
rnacentral:rRNA from 1 species